rnacentral:rRNA from 1 species
AGAGUUUGAUCCUGGCUCAGAAUCAACGCUGGCGGCGUGCCUAACACAUGCAAGUCGAACGCGAAAAUCCCGCAAGGGAUGAGUAGAGUGGCAAACGGGUGAGUAACGCGUGGGUGACCUGCCUUCGAGCGGGGGAUAACGUUCCGAAAGGGACGCUAAUACCGCGUAAUAUCCUGCCUUUCAAGAGGUGGAGAUCAAAGCUGGGGCUCGCAAGACCUGGCACUCGAAGAGGGGCCCGCGUCCGAUUAGCUAGUUGGUGAGGUAACGGCUCACCAAGGCGACGAUCGGUAGCCGGCCUGAGAGGGCGGACGGCCACACUGGGACUGAGACACGGCCCAGACUCCUACGGGAGGCAGCAGUGGGGAAUUGUUCGCAAUGGGCGCAAGCCUGACGACGCAACGCCGCGUGGAGGAUGAAGAUCUUCGGGUCGUAAACUCCUUUCGAUCGAGACGAAUGGCCUCCGGGUAAACAGUCCGGAGGAAUGACGGUACCGAGAGAAGAAGCCCCGGCUAACUCCGUGCCAGCAGCCGCGGUAAUACGGGGGGGGCAAGCGUUGUUCGGAAUUACUGGGCGUAAAGGGCUCGUAGGCGGCCAACUAAGUCAGACGUGAAAUCCCUCGGCUUAACCGGGGAACUGCGUCUGAUACUGGAUGGCUUGAGUUUGGGAGAGGGAUGCGGAAUUCCAGGUGUAGCGGUGAAAUGCGUAGAUAUCUGGAGGAACACCGGUGGCGAAGCGGCAUCCUGGACCAAUACUGACGCUGAGGAGCGAAAGCCAGGGGAGCAAACGGGAUUAGAUACCCCGGUAGUCCUGGCCCUAAACGAUGAAUGCUUGGUGUGACGGGUAUCGAUCCCUGUCGUGCGAAGCUACGCAUUAGCAUUCCGCCUGGAGUACGGUCGCAGCUGAAACUUCAAAGGAAUUGACGGGGCCGCACAGCGUUGAGCUAUGUGGUCAAUCGAACCCACCGCGAGACUUACCAAGCUGACAGCGAGUGACACUCAUGAAGUGACCUCCGCAGACCUCCUAAGGUGUCUGCAUGGCUGCGUCACCUCC